rnacentral:rRNA from 2 species
UACGGAGGGUGCGAGCGUUGUCCGGAAUCAUUGGGCGUAAAGGGCGCGUAGGUGGCUUCUUAAGCGUGCGGUGAAAGCCUGGGGCUCAACCCCGGGUCGGCCGUGCGAACUGGGGGGCUGGAGCACUGUAGAGGCAGGCGGAAUUCCGGGUGUAGCGGUGGAAUGCGUAGAGAUCCGGAAGAACACCGGUGGCGAAGGCGGCCUGCUGGGCAGUUGCUGACACUGAGGCGCGACAGCGUGGGGAGCAAACAGG